CAGGCCCUGAAUCAAGACCAAUGGUUUGCUGUAGCUAUUGGUUUCAAACAGGAGCCUAGAAGAAUGUCUCCCCAUGGUCUGUUGGCUUUUCUGAAUUCCUGGUGGGGAAUGGCCAAUUCAGUUGGAAGAGACAAUU
ensembl:snoRNA